CGCCGUAAACGAUGUCGAUUUGGAGGUUGUGCCCUUGAGGCGUGGCUUCCGGAGCUAACGCGUUAAAUCGACCGCCUGGGGAGUACGGCCGCAAGGUUAAAACUCAAAUGAAUUGACGGGGGCCCGCACAAGCGGUGGAGCAUGUGGUUUAAUUCGAUGCAACGCGAAGAACCUUACCUGGUCUUGACAUCCACAGAACUUUCCAGAGAUGGAUUGGUGCCUUCGGGAACUGUGAGACAGGUGCUGCAUGGCUGUCGUCAGCUCGUGUUGUGAAAUGUUGGGUUAAGUCCCGCAACGAGCGCAACCCUUAUCCUUUGUUGCCAGCGGUUAGGCCGGGAACUCAAAGGAGACUGCCAGUGAUAAACUGGAGGAAGGUGGGGAUGACGUCAAGUCAUCAUGGCCCUUACGACCAGGGCUACACACGUGCUACAAUGGCGCAUACAAAGAGAAGCGACCUCGCGAGAGCAAGCGGACCUCAUAAAGUGCGUCGUAGUCCGGAUUGGAGUCUGCAACUCGACUCCAUGAAGUCGGAAUCGCUAGUAAUCGUAGAUCAGAAUGCUACGGUGAAUACGUUCCCGGGCCUUGUACACACCGCCCGUCACACCAUGGGAGUGGGUUGCAAAAGAAGUAGGUAGCUUAACCUC
rnacentral:rRNA from 1 species